GCCAUUUUGCCGCUCAUCAUAUUGGUGUCACCUCGGUAUUUGGCCAAGCCGCAGGCUCCCCUAAGCAACGAACAUCACGGUUGCCUGCGAAAGGCAACAAGUGGUGACCCCGACGUGAUGCUUAGGGGAAGGAGUCGGCUGUCUGCUUGACGGGGCAGGAGCCCACCGCGGAGCGUUAGCACUUGCUGGGCGGUGGAAGCCGGGGGACAAGCCCGGGGACAGAGGGAAUCUGCAGUCACCCCUCUGUCGGUGGAGGUCGCGGACGAGCGACGGAUAUACCCUCUGGAAUCACGCCGGAGAAGAGCCUGGGAUCCUGGUCUCAAUCGGGAGGAGGAUCGGGGGCGUCAUGGAAGCCGUCAUAAAGGCGUGGCUACUGGGGAAGCCGAAGACCCCGACACCGGAGAAGCGGAAAAAAAAAAAAAAACACUUAUAUGGGGGGUGGCACGGCUAUUGACUUCUUGCUUUUAGCUCAAAGCCACGGAUGUGAGGAUGUCGAAGGGUUCUGUUGCUUCAACUUAAGUGAUCACAGCGCAUCGAUCCAUAAACAACUACAGUGGAUGCAAGGCCACACACAGAAGAUCAAGAUGCAGGCCGAUCCCUUCGGUGAAUGGUUGGAGGGUCUGUUUGGGGAAUUAGAGCCAUGGCUAAAACAAAUGCUUAAAACGCUUAUCGUAGUUUUAGCAAUAUUCUUGGCUAUUAUGCUCUGUCUUCCAUGCUUUGUUCAGCUUCUUAAGGCAUGCUUAAGAAACUUCAUAGAGGAAAUCUCACGUCAGCAGUACGCGUAUCAGCGCAUUCAGGAGCAAUUAUAGACGCACUUAGGAAUAGAAAUAGAGUUAGGAUUUGCGUUCGCGUUGUUACGGGUCAGCUUUCUGUGGCAUGGGGAGGGGGAGAUGUUGUAAUAGGCGUGAUCGGGGUCUCGGGAUGUAACGUGUCAGGCUCCUCCCCAUGUGUUAGGUACGUGCCACGUGUACCAUCCAGUGGGCGUACACGAAGGGUUAAAAGAUAUAUAAGUGCUUGUUAGAACUUAAUAAACGCCAUUUUGCCGCUCAUC
rnacentral:lncRNA from 1 species